rnacentral:rRNA from 1 species
UUAUUAAGUAUUGAAUAACUUCAUGCAAUCAUGAAAGAUAUUAUGCUAGAACUAGUAACAAGAAUCCGCACUUCUCCUUAAUGUAAGCAUAAGUCAGCAUGGACUCACCACUGAUAAUUAUUUGUAAAGAACCUAAAGUAGCAACUAACCACUAGAAAAAACUACUAAUACUCACAUUUAUCUUACACCAGCACACUACAGGCAAAGGUCAAAAUGAAAGGAAGGAACUCGGCAAAUUUUAGUCCCGCCUGUUUACCAAAAACAUCGCCUCUUGAUAUAAUUAUAAGAGGUCAAGCCUGCCCAGUGACAAAGUUUAACGGCCGCGGUAUCCUAACCGUGCAAAGGUAGCGCAAUCACUUGUCUCUUAAAUAGAGACUAGUAUGAAUGGCAUCACGAAGACUAUACUGUCUCCCUCUCACCACCAGUGAAACUGAUCUUCCCAUGAAAAAGUGGGAAUACCCCUAUAAGACGAGAAGACCCCAUGGAGCUUUAAACUAACAUUAUCUAUUCAACCUUACACCACAAGAGCAUGACUAACUAUAAUUGCUAGUUUUCGGUUGGGGCGACCACGGAGUAAAGUAAAACCUCCGCGAUGUACAGACCUUACAUCUUUAUUUAAGAACUACAUCUCCAAAAAUCAACAUAUUGACAUAAAUUGACUCAACCAUAAUCAACGAACCAAGUUACCCUGGGGAUAACAGCGCAAUCCAUUUCAAGAGUCCUUAUCAACAAUUG